UUAUUGUACGGGGGUGUACAAGGUAGAUAGAGGAUAGUAACACCAGUGGCGAAGGCGACCGACCUGGAGCGAUACUGACACUGACGGUGCGAGAGCGUGAGGAGCAAACAGGAUUAGAUACCCUGGUAGUGGGAUUAGGUAAACGAUGUCAACUAGGCAAUUGGAAGCCUUGAGCUUUUAGUGGCGCAGCUAACGCAUUAAGUAAGGGCCCUGGGGAGUACGGCCGCAAGGUUAAAACUCAAAUGAUUUUCCGGGGCCCCGCCCAAGCGGUGGACCACGUGGUUUAAUGGUAAGCAAGGCCAAGAGUCUUGCUCGGCCUGGACAUUCAAUGAACUUUUCAGGACUAGAGUGGAGCCUUCGGGAACAUUGAGACAGGCAAGCAUGGGAAGGUCACAACGUAUCUCUAGAAAGUGGGUUAAGUGUCAAAACGAGCGCAGGUUCUUGUCGUUAGUUCGAGCAAGUCACGGGGGGCACCUAAGGAGGGGCCCGGUGACAAACCGGAGGAAGGUGGGGAUGACGUCAAGUCAUCAUGGCCGGUCCGGCUAAUGCGACACACCGCCACAAAAUCGGUACAGAGGGUUCCCAAGCCGCGAGGUGGAGCUAAUCCCAUAAAACCGAUAUUAGUUCGGAUUGCAGUCUCAACUUGACCGCGUGAAGUUGGAAUCGAUAGUAAUCGCGAAUCAGAAGCGGCCGACCCGU
rnacentral:rRNA from 1 species